rnacentral:rRNA from 1 species
AGUGUUAUCCCAGGGGGCUGCCUUCGCCAUUGGUAUUCCUCCACAUAUCUACGCAUUUCACUGCUACACAUGGAAUUCUACCCCCCUCUGACACACUCUAGUCUUACAGUUUCAAACGCAGUUCCCAAGUUGAGCUCGGGGAUUUCACAUCUGACUUAUAAGACCGCCUGCGAACGCUUUACGCCCAGUAAUUCCGAUUAACGCUUGCACCCUAUGUAUUACCGCGGCUGCUGGCACAUAGUUAGCCGGUGCUUCUUGUCAAGAUACCGUCAUACUUACUAUUUAUUAAAUAGCAAGCUUUCUUCUCUUGCGAAAGAGCUUUACAACCCGAAGGCCUUCUUCACUCACGCGGAAUGGCUGGAUCAGGGUUGCCCCCAUUGUCCAAAAUUCCCCACUGCUGCCUCCCGUAGGAGUCUGGACCGUGUCUCAGUUCCAGUGUGGCUGAUCGUCCUCUCAGACCAGCUACUGAUCGUCGCCUUGGUAGGCUUUUACCCUACCAACAAGCUAAUCAGAUAUCGGCCGCUCUAAUAACGCAAGGUCCGAAGAUCCCCUGCUUUCACCCGUAGGUCGUAUGCGGUAUUAGCUAAUCUUUCGAUUAGUUGUUCCCCAUUACUAGGCACGUUCCGAUAUGUUACUCACCCGUUCGCCACUCGCCAUCAGAGAGCAAGCUCUCUAUGCUGCCGUUCGACUUGCAUGUGUAAAGCAUUCCGCCAGCGUUCAAUCUGAGCCAGGAUCAAACUCU